rnacentral:lncRNA from 1 species
UCUGCUAAAAGUAAAAAUGAGAAACUGUCUCUGAUGGUAUCAACAUAGAAGCAAUUUAUUUUCUUUAGCUGUAAUAAGGGAGGACAUAACUUUCUCUUGUUACCAGAGGCUGUGCUGUUGAAAACUUAUGGGUGAUUCUAUCAUCGUUCUUGAUAUGAUGAGACAGUGUUGUGAUCUGGCCAAAUGUGCAGACGCUGUAGCCACAUUGCCUUGGAUUGGGUUGCAACUCCACCCCUCACUGCUGAGCAAUCCUGGACAAGUAUAUAACUCCUUGUGCUUCAGACUCCUCGCCUGUAAAAUGAAGCUAAUCAUAGCACUUGCCUCAGAGAAUUGAUGUGAGGACACAAUAGGCCAAGAACUGCUAAGCACUUAGUGUGGUAUCUGGCACAAUCAGAGAAGGUUAACCAUUGCUAUUCUGUGAUUACUUAAAAUAUAUUUUUCAUGUCAAUUUAAACAAUAUUUUUGCCUUUAAUUUUCUUCUCCGUAAUUUUAGUUGGUGAAAAUAAAAUUUGAGCCCAUUAACUCAUUCCAUAUAUUAUGAAAAAUCAGCAUAAAGGUAAAAGUAUUAAUUUCUGACUGAGCUCAAAGAGCAGACAUUUAUGCCACUACGCAUGUGGGCAGGACACUGUAAUGAAUAACAAAAUACAUUAGCCAAAGAAAGACUAGGAUGAGUAAGGGAAUUUUCUUUCAUAUGAAACUCAUUUUUCAAAUAUCUAUCAAUUCAUUGAGUUAACAAGUUCAGCAAAAAGAGAAGUAAAGAAAAUAUAAAUGAACAAGCAGCUGUUAGAGUCAGUUAUGAACUGAGCAAAUGAAGACGAUUUCCUGAUAAUCUGCUGAGGUUUAGUUUUGAGUUUUGAGGAACAUAGUCAUCUUCAUCUGAAUAACUUUGAAUAUAACAUCAUUGACUUUCUGAUCUAUUAAAUUAAAACGCGUACACUGUAGAUAACAUGGAAAUGCAAAAAAUCAUAAAAAAUACAAUUUGCUUUAUAAUUUUGAGGUAUUUUGAUAUAAAAUUUAAUACCUACUCACAGUUUAGACUCCAUUUUAUAAAAUAAUGUCAUAUCCUAGUUUUACUUUUAUUCGAGUGUUGCAUUAGGGAAGUUUGCCAAAUAUUCUAUUGAAACAUGAUUUUUAACAGCUGAUUACUAUUCUAGUAUGUGUCUCAAUCAUGAUUAUUAUUGUCAUUCUCUUUUAUUGGGCAUUUAGAUUUUUAAAUUUUUGCAAUUGUAAAUACAGUGUCAGUGAGCAUUCUUUUAUGAAAAUCGCUUAUCUCAUCUAUCAUUGUUACCUUAAGGUGGAUUUCUAGAAAUGAAAUUGCUGCAGCAAAAGGACUGCAUAAUGUAAACACUCUUGAGACAGAUGACCAAUUUGUUUCCUGCAGUUUGUUCGCAUUUACACACUUCUAACAAUAUGGAGAUGUAUGUCUCACUGAAAUCAUGAUGACAACAGAGUUUUUUGCUUCUGUCUGCCAAUUUUUCCUUUGGGGCACUCAUCAUUUUGAUUACUUAAAUAUGCAUCUUAUGGUAGAAACUGGAACCACUGUCUUGAAUCAAAAGAUGGAAGAAGCUUCUCUUGAAGAUUAAAGGGACACAAGACAGAAGUUGUCUGUGUCCCUGAGGGCUUAGCAGAGGAGACUUGACCUACUUUCUUGGGCUUGUUGUGACAUCUAUUUUAAUUACAAUGUUCCUGAAAAGCCACUUUCCUGAGAAGAACUGCAACAGAUUUUCAUGAUAUCAAGAAGGCUUUAUGUUCCUGUAAGAAAGUUUGGCUGUAAGUUCCUAUCAAGAUUCUACAAGAUUGUGUGACUGCAAAAAUACCCUUUGAAGUAGUUGGUCCAGAAACACUGAAGGUUUGUAUAGAAGAGACAGACCUUCCACCCUGUCUCUUCUAUCACACAGCAAUGACUGAUAAACUGGAAAAUUUAAAGAAGACAUAAAGGCUAAAUUCCAUGACAAAUCAUGUCAGUGGACUAGUCUAAAUGGAAGUGCAAAACAGUAAGUGUGCACUGAAGUGCAAAACCAACUGAGUUCUACAUGACCGAAUAUAAGCAUAGAUCGCCAGGAAUUCAGCUCCUACAAAGAAAAUUGGAACCAAUGUGUAUUGACCCUUGCCAAAAAGUAGAGACUGUUUUGGCUAUGAAAAUAGUCCUGGUCACAGCUCCCACCAAAAAAUGAAAACUUAAAAAUAAUGAUAAUUUUAAAAGCUGGGAUGUAUUUUUUAGGGCCGAGGAAAGUUUCGCACUGAGUUACUUGAGAUAAUGGGAGAAAACUAAGACAACUGUGCAGCCACCACAGGUAACUCAGGAACUGGAUAGUAUGCCCAGUUAGGAUUAGAGACUUGAGAUGUCUUAUGUAGCAAUAAACUGAGGCUAUCAGUGGCAUGCAAAGUAAACCCAAAGAAAGCAGAAAGGAAAUAAAAAGUACUAAAGGUAAAAUCAGUAAUUUUAAAAAGAAUAUAUAACCCAAUAGAAUCAAAGUUUAGUUCUCCAAA